CUAGGAACAGGUUAGGAGUCUAUUAAUUAAAGCAUUCCCUGCUAGAUUCAUAAGAGCAAACAUGCUUAAAAUUCAUUACAUUGUCCAUUUAUAAGAAAAUAAUGAUUCACAUCUUAAAUGGCAAUUUUCCCUCUGUGAAUUGAUAAAUUUCUUCACUGCUGAAAAAUAGUUGUGAUUUUUAAUGUACUUAUGCCUCCCCUUCCUGCCCCCCACUCCAGUUUUUCCCUAUUCUAACUACACUUGAGAAAAAUAGACUUUGUUUAAAUAUUGGAUUUGUGCUUUUCUUAAUCCAAUAUUAGUCUAAGGUUAAGGCAGCAUUGAUAAUUAUAUUUCCAAAAAUGUUUUACAUCCAAAAUUAUUAGAGGAGACCUUCGGUUUCAGCCAAUACUUUUUUUCCCCUUGCUUCUGUCAGGAAAUUUAUUUGCAAAUAUUUCAAAUAUUUAUAUUUCAGUCAAUACUUUUCAAUUUUACUUAAGUUAUAAUCAGAAGUAUUAGAAAUAUAUAGUGAAAUUAAAUUAUGCUUUAAUUUACUUCACACCCUUGGUGACAAUUUGUAUUUGUAGGUUACUUUUUAAACUGUUGUUUCUACAAACUAUGUUUUUGUGGAUGUUAAAACAGAAAUAAACAGAUUUCAUCUUUUCAAAUCUAGCCUGCUUCUUAUGUAAAGUGACCAUAUGCUUUGGCUUACCAUCAACAGUUCUGGUUAAUAUCUGUUGUUCUGGCUAAUUAUUAAUAAGGCUCCUGUUUACUCUAAAAAAUGUUCUGAUUUGGGUUAUAAAUCAUAUGAUCAGAAGCUUUAAGGAAUUUGAAGUAUAAACUAAUAGAAGAAGGUCAUUUUUAAAAUGACCUUUUGUAGUCAGGAGAAUUUCCUUCUCAACUAUGUACAGACCUAUCUAAACUUUUAAAAAAUAACAUUAUGGUACAGAUAAUAUAAGCAAUAAUAUUAUUUGAUUUGUUGAUAGUACUCUGGAAUUCCUGAGUUUAGAAGUGGUUUGUUUAGUACUGACAGGAAAUGGAUGCAGGAACAAUUAGUGAUGGUAAAAAACAAAGUGCUUUUCCUAUAUAUCUCCUCUUUUGAAGCUAAAUAUAACUGUCAUAAAAUUAGAGCAGGACCAGUUUUCAUCUUUCUAGAGAAGCUGAGAAAUUAGGUGGUUUGAUUAUAUGUACAAACUAGUAGAUAAGAUCAUUCAAGACUUCAGACCCAAUCUUCUGGCUAUAAAUCCUAUAUCUAUGCUCUCUGCAGCAUACCCUACUAGUUUUGAGUAUUAAAUUUAUUUAAAACUUAUCCUGUGCUUUAAAAUUUUUUAAUUUAGAAAAUAUUUUUGAGAAAAUAACCAAAUAAAAUUUCUGAAUUUUGAUUAAAAGUUCCUAUUACCUACAGGCAGUUCUGGUACUUUUUUCUAUUUACUUCAGAAAGCUUUGAAUUUAUGAGGUUACUAAAAGGACUCAGGCAGGGUUGGAGUGAAGCACCUAUUGUACGGAUUAAUUUCAGUUCACUUUUUAGGUUUUUUGCAUUAAUAAUGUAUUUCAUAGUAAUUAUGGCACAAGUCACUUUUUAUUUGCCUUAUAAUAGGUGUAGACAUUUGAGAGAUGAAUAUAAAUUGACUUCUACUGGAAUUGGCAAACAUGUUCAUAUUAGCCUUUCUCAAAUCUAGAGAAUCCCAAGCUGUGGAUUCUUCUAUAAAGUAAGUUUAAAACUAAGUAGAUUAAAGGGCCUUGAAUUAUGUUGUAAUAUCAGAAGGGACCAGAGCAGGAAGUGCUCCAAAAAAUUGUGACAAUUGUGUAUUCUACAAUCAAUGAUGGCAUAUAACCACAUUUCCAGUGUAUGGUACUUGGUAAAUCCUGAGCUGGGAGAUAGGACCAGGGUUUAAGCUCUGUCCCUAUCUCUGAUUACUGCAUUUUCCUAGACAAGUCUUAUUUUCCCAAUUGAAAAAUGAGAAUAUUCAUGGUUUCUGUGUCCAAAGAGUAGUUGUAAGACUUCACAGAAGUUUGAAGCAGCAUGCCUAUCGAGCAAGCAGAGUGGUGGAAGAAGAACCUUACCUAUUGGGAGCAGAAGUCAUGCUCAAAGGUUCUGCUCUGGAGCAUCACUGUGAAUUCUGAAAAUUGUUUCUACAGCCUGUGGAACAUGGAAUCAAACCAGAAUAUGUUGGCAUAACAGGCCCGUCAAACCGGUUCUUCUGUAGAUCCAGAACCCGUCCAACCAGUCUGCAUCAAAGGCUCGCCCAACAAGCUGCAGCGGCUCAGCUCUGCUAAGCUUGUACCGGUUAUUCUCAAACUUUUCUGCUUACCUAUCAAGUGCUGAUUAAGAACACAAAUUACUGGCCUCACCUCCAGGGAUUUUGAGUCUGGAUGUUACCCAAGCACUUAUGGUGAUUAUGCUGCAACUGUGACAGAGACCAUAGGCCCAGACUCCAUGCUCAGUUUCUUUUCUAUUUUCUUUGUACUUAAUUAAA